GUUCUGAUUAGUCGAUGAAUUUUUAAUAAAUUUUUUCUUUUUCUUUUCCCCAUUCUUCGUCUUCUUUCUCUCGUCUCUCGGAAAACAAAGAGACGAAUUUGAAGCAUCUCCUUUGACUUGGAAAAAACAAAGAGAUGUCUGGAGCUGCUGAGUGUUAUCAUCAUGUAUGUUUUGAUUUAUCAGUUUUUGGAGAAUCUAUGCGAAAUUCGAAUGAAGAAUUUUUGAUUUCAUGGCGGAAAUCGAAUUGGGUUUUGACUUUUGUGUGUAGAAUUCUAGGUGCCUUUUGUCUAUGUAUAUUUAGUUUGCAUCGAAUUCAGAUUAGCUUUGAUGAUACUAUUAGAUUUGUUUGAUUGAACAUGCCUGGAUAUAUGAACUCUUAUGGAGUUAGAAGUCCAAAUCAGAAUAUCAGUCAUGGUAUCCAGAACUAUGUACGGGUUUGCUGACAUGUCUUUUAUCUAGUAAUCAAAUUUGUGCCACUGUAAUCUUCAGAUAUGAUACGAUGUUACUGCUUGGACCUAUUGGUCCUGAACUUUUUUACUUGGUCAUGAAUAUUGAAUAGUUUAGGUACUGAGCCUGAGCUUCUGUAUAUUUGCGGUUGGCUGUGGACUUUGUUGUUUCCAUCUGAUACUGGUGCUUUACGUUUUUCAAUGACAAACCAAAUCGAUCUCCUUCUGGAAAGCACCUUAAGUUGUUGUGUUAGAACCACUCUGUUGGCUGUGUAGGUUGGUUAGAAUACCUCGUAAUCUAUUUGCUUUUUCCCUUGAGACACUAGUUCCUGAGUUGUGGUCAUUGAAUAUUCCUUACCACUUUCAUUGCUUGGUGCUUUAGCUGACAGGAGGCUUCCAUUCUUUAUUCUUCCAGUUUUAUCCUUCGUUAUACUAAACUUCCACACAAGGAACUCCGGUUUAUCAUUAGUUCAGUGCUAAUGUUCAACUUUUCUGCUGCAGUUGCUGCUAGCAGCAUGUAAGAGUUCUAUAUGCUCCUUUAGUUGCAUCUAUGGAGGUCUUGAUGUGUCUGUCUGGUUAUGGCGGAGGAUUUGUUUGCUGAUGAACUGUCUGGAAUCCGAACUUAAGCUGAAUGUGAAUGCAGUUUCCAAAAGCUAUAGAGAAAGCGCUUAUAGAGAAGAGAGGAUGGAAAAGACAUCUUAAAAGAGGAGCUCACACAUUGACGUGCCCCGAGUAUCAGGUUCAGCUCCGAACUCAGAUAUCCAACUUGAUCAUUUGUCUCUGGCUCAGGCUUUCAGAUUCUUUGACCGUAACCAGGAAGGCUAUGUUAGGGUAAACUGUGUUUGAGAAAAUUACGGAAGUAGUAAACUGCAGUUACAAAAACACAAGCUCUAUCUAAGUAAACUGCAAAAUAAACUGGAACCAGGUUUCAGUUUCAGAGAGAGAAAAGGAUUGGAAGCAAAACUCACCAGCCAUGGUAAGGGACCAGAGUUGAGGAAUGAAGAAGAUGCCCUGCUGCACUGUUCAGCCUUGGAUCAUUGGAGAAGCUACCGUGUCCGCUGCAAGGUAAUCAAAAUGGUUAUCACCAAAACUAGAACACUAGCAAGUUUGUCAGUAUCAGAAACCAAUUUUGUCCACACAGAGAAUGGGUACAAGGAAGUAGCAGAGGAAGCAUGAGGAUUAGUUGUUAGUAUCUUACCAACCUCACUGCACGUUGGGUUAUCAUUCUUGUAAAGUUUGUAUAUAAUUACCAUUUAAAUGAAGGUUAACAAUUUUCUCCCAA